CAGGAGAUUAGCUUCCACAGAAGGUUAUUCCACCUCCACAGUUUGUCAUCCAGAACCAGUAUGAGUUCUUCGUCCAGCGUAUGGGAGGCCCUCCUCUGUAUUCUCAAAGGAAAUGUUAAGUCUUUUUUACAUUUUGGAUUCUUCUUCCUUUACUAUAAUCUGGUGAAUGCCUUCAAAUGUUUGUUUGGUUCUAGCUGUUCUUUUAAUGUUCAUGGCACUUUAAUCAGUUCUGCAUUAACAUAAUUUUCAGGCUGCGAUUGAACUAUGGCUAGCCGCAAUGAUCCCUUACAGAUUGCAACUUCCUAACUGUUUUGUAUAUUGGGUUUGUGGGAGCUCACACAAUGCCGGUUCUGUAUGAGAAAUAUGAAGACGAAGUUGGUGGUUUUGUUGAUUCUCUGCUCAUGAAGUUUCACAGUCACUAUAAGAAGAUGGAUACUGGCUUUCUCAGUCGAAUUCCAAGUGGAAGGUUUGGGUUCAAGAAGCAUGACUAAAUCAACUUGUUUAUCUGUGGAUGAAAGGUAUGUGUAGCUUGGUUUACUCUUGAACGUCUUCUUCUUGGUUUACUCUUAUAGGAUGUUUCAAACAAUGUUGGCUUACUUUCUGAUGAUGGCAAUAGGUUUUACAAACCAAAGUGUUUCUUAAUUUUUUUUUGAUCUUUUAAUAUGUUUUAUAUAAUAAAUAAAUUUUAUCUUAAAUAAAACAAUGUUUAAUUUU